UUGGAAGGACAAUCCCUGUUAGGCUGUUCUUGUGCUGCGGUAUUUACAGCAUGCCCUCAGGCUACCCAGAACCGGUGUUUGCUAAAGAUGACAGUCCACUGGAAGACUCUCUUACUGUUGCUAAACCUUGUGCUGCAUAUUGUUGUCUAUACUGAGACCCAAACUCACUCUGGAUCCUGGAACUCAUUCACUGAAACUUCUUCCCUUUCCUCAUCCAAAUGAGUGUUUUGUUAGGAAACGUAAUCCAUCCGUACUAAUUUGGAAUUUGCAGAAACAUUUGGGAUUUUGCAAGGGAGGAGAGUUGCUGAUUCUAAUCCAGUCUCAAGUGAUUCCGUCAACAUAGAUUUAGUAUUUUCUCAAGACAGUUUGGGGCUGAUGCUGCUGUGGAUUCCUAGUGAGGACCAAACCUGAAAUCUUCACACUAUGGACCUGAGAGUCUCCUUGGAUAUUUUACCUCCUCCCAUCCCAUAUUGCUUCUGGCCAGAUGCAGGUGUGUCAGCCCACACCUAGAUGAAUUUCAAGGGGGAACAAUGGCAUCAUCCUCUCCUGAAGUUUCACCUGCUCUGUCGCUUGAACGCACGUAAGCCACCUUGUGAGACUGUUCAAUACCGGGGGACAUAGUAUCUGCCUCAUUUUAAGGUGCCCAUGUUUUAGUGGAAGGUGCUUUGCUAUCUGUGACAUUUUUGAAUACAGCAAUGGAUUUGAGU
rnacentral:lncRNA from 1 species